rnacentral:rRNA from 1 species
GUGUCAGCAGCCGCGGUAAUACGGGAGUGGCAAGCGUUAUCCGGAAUUAUUGGGCGUAAAGCGUCCGCAGGCGGCCUUGCAAGUCUGCUGUCAAAGAGUGGAGCUUAACUCCAUAAAGGCAGUGGAAACUGUGAGGCUUGAGUGUGGUAGGGGCAGAGGGAAUUCCCGGUGUAGCGGUGAAAUGCGUAGAUAUCGGGAAGAACACCAGUGGCGAAGGCGCUCUGCUGGGCCAUAACUGACGCUCAUGGACGAAAGCCAGGGGAGCGAAAGGGAUUAGAUACCCCUGUAGUCCUGGCCGUAAACGAUGAACACUAGGUGUCGGGGGAAUCGACCCCCUCGGUGUCGUAGCCAACGCGUUAAGUGUUCCGCCUGGGGAGUACGCACGCAAGUGUGAA